rnacentral:tRNA from 1 species
GCCUUUGUGGGCUAAUGGUAGCACACUCGGCGCUUAUUCGAGAGGUCCAGGUUCGAGUCCCGGCGAGGGCA